AUUUAAAGAGAGGUGCGUUGCUAAUCACUGGACUAAUGAACCUCUGAUCACUUUAUCAGGGCUAAAUGAAUAUUCUGUAACAGAGACGCACACAAUCGUUUUGUCGAACUGCUGAACAUGUCAUUUUGUGAACUUGUUCUAUAAUAAUUUUUAAUGUUUAAUGUACACACCUGAUAAAAACACUGAAAUCUUAUGAAGGUUUGGCUUUCAUUUCUGACAACUUUAGGAUCUCUGCUGUUUGUCAGGAGUGUUUGCAGUAACAUUUUCUUUGAAGCCAUGAUAUAUAUAUAAUGCAUUUAAAAAGCUAUUAAAUAUUCUGAAAUUAAUUUGUGAAGUCUUAUAAUACACUUAAUAAUCAGUUGAAUGUUCUUCUAAAUAAUUAAAGAGUAUACUGAUAAUUUCAUGUUAUAAUACUUAAAAUUCUUCAUAGGGUUUAAUGAUAAAUAGCGUUAUCAUGAUUACUAUUCACCACUAGGUGGCGGACUUCUACUUGCAAACGCAAUGGGAGCACCUAGGGCAAGCCUCAAUACUUGGGGCCUUUACACUUGACCGCUUGUGUACUUACAUGAUGUAUUUUCUAUAUUUGGCCCAAGGGGGUGUGAAGACCCCAAGUCUUUGUAGAACUUUUGAUUAGCCAAUCAGAAAUACAUAUAACACUGUGUUGUAAAAAUGCAAGUAAAGGUUUGCAGAACUUCCACAUUUGGAUUUUCUUUACUUUGCACUUUAAAAUAAGAUUCUAAAAGUCUGUAUAUCAGUAACAGAUGACAGUACAACAGUUAAAUUGUGGUGCUUCUAAUUAAGUAGUUAAAAGUGGUUACUAACAUUUUACAAAAUACACAGAUUCCUCUUUGCAUCAAUAAACUACUUUUACUGCCAAAUUAUAUAUAAUAUCUAUGCAAUUUAACUUGUAUAUGUAAUUAUAUGUAAUAUCUAUGCAAUUUAAAUUGUAUAUGUAAUUAUAUGUAAUAUCUAAUUAAUUUUCAAUUUAAAUUUUCAUUUGCUUAGACUAUGCUUAGUCUAGAGAUUUAGUGUGCAUUAAAGGAACUGAGCUUUGCCAUUAUUCAGACUUGGAACAGUCUUGUGCACUAUGUAGUGGCCAAGACAACAAGUGUGGGUAUUGGAACAGGCCCUUAGUACUGAAUGAAGAGAUGUAGCUGUAUAGUAAAUUGACAUGAUGUUUAUUUAUUGAAUAAACUGUUAAUUCAUGAGUAUAUAUUCUGAUUAAAUCUUUCACAGAUUAAUACAGAAAAAAAUAUAAAAGACAGUUUAUGUACAAUUUAUUUAUAAUAGAGACAAUUAUUGUUGCGAUUUCACAAUAUUAGUCAUGCGUUAUAGGCUUGUUUACAGAAACUGGCAAGCCUCUCUUUGCUUUGUCUCAUUCACAGGUUUUAGUGCUUUUAUUUCUGGAUGUCUCAGGAAAACCAGCAGAAAUGGAAACUUUUUUUAGAAAUCAUAAUAAUGUUAAACAUUUGUAUUGUUAUGGACAGGUUUGUAGCUGCUGUGUUAGAGAAGGUUUUGUGUUUAAUACUGUCUCCACAUGUUAUAGUUUAGUUACAUUUCCACGGCGAGACACAAUGGUUUGUUUACCUAUAACUGUUUAAUCCACAAACGCAGGGGCUCCACUUUAUUUCUGUAGGUUCCUGGCUUUAUCCGUAUCAAAUCAUGAGGUGUCAUGUCAACACUGGCAUACUGGGCAAACAGAUUCCAAACCUUGGGCGGCUGGCUGGCAAAUCCUCACCAUGUGGCAGGAUGUAAGAUGUGUGAUCAGCGGGCAGUGGAUUUGUCACACACAAACACAUGCUGAGAGACACAUACGAGUGUGAGUAAGAACCCAAGGCCUUGUUUUGGCUCAUCCUGAACUCUGAUUGGAUGGAGAGCAGGGGCCUUCUCUUCCCGAGCCUAACAAAAUAUCUAAUGACUCACAUAGCAAAGUAUGACACAUUCUUCAGUAUGCAGACACAUCCACAUCCACGCUGACAUGUGCAACAGCCCCUAAAUUAAUGCUCUGGUUGGACACACAGCUGCCUUCUAUAGAGUGUAAGGGACUUGAGACAGCAUCAUAAUGCUCAAUGCAUGAAUGUACUGACUGGUCAA